ACUCAAAGGAAUAGACGGGGGCCCGCACAAGCGGUGGAGCAUGUGGUUUAAUUCGACGCAACGCGAAGAACCUUACCAAGGCUUGACAUGGGAUCGCAAGGCGCAGAGAUGCGUCCCUCUUCGGACGGUCCACACAGGUGGUGCAUGGUUGUCGUCAGCUCGUGUCGUGAGAUGUUGGGUUAAGUCCCGCAACGAGCGCAACCCCUAUGAUUAGUAGCCAGCGUGUUAAGGCGGGCACUCUAAUCAGACUGCCGUGGAUAACACGGAGGAAGGCGGGGAUGACGUCAAAUCAUCAUGCCCCUUACGUCUUGGGCUACACACGUGCUACAAUGGCCGCAACAAAGUGACGCGAACCCGCGAGGGUAAGCAAAGCACAAAAAAGCGGUCUCAGUUCGGAUCGCAGUCUGCAACCCGACUGCGUGAAGUCGGAAUCGCUAGUAAUCGCGAAUCAGCAUGUCGCGGUGAAUACGUUCCCGGGCCUUGCACACACCGCCCGU
rnacentral:rRNA from 1 species